AUUGAACGCUGGCGGCAUGCUUUACACAUGCAAGUCGAACGGUAACAGGCCGCAAGGUGCUGACGAGUGGCGCACGGGUGAGUAAUGCAUCGGAACGUGCCCAGUCGUGGGGGAUAACUACUCGAAAGAGUAGCUAAUACCGCAUACGAUCUAUGGAUGACAGCGGGGGACCGUAAGGCCUCGCGCGAUUGGAGCGGCCGAUGUCAGAUUAGGUAGUUGGUGGGGUAAAGGCUCACCAAGCCAACGAUCUGUAGCUGGUCUGAGAGGACGACCAGCCACACUGGGACUGAGACACGGCCCAGACUCCUACGGGAGGCAGCAGUGGGGAAUUUUGGACAAUGGGCGCAAGCCUGAUCCAGCAAUGCCGCGUGCAGGAAGAAGGCCUUCGGGUUGUAAACUGCUUUUGUACGGAACGAAACGGCUCUGGUUAAUACGCGGGGCUAAUGACGGUACCGUAAGAAUAAGCACCGGCUAACUACGUG
rnacentral:rRNA from 1 species